AAACAAUGAAGCCCUUCACAAAAGGAAGGCAUUUCUGAUGUGACGGAGGUAAGUUCACAUGACACAACAGUUUAGUUACUUGGAAUGUCUCGCAAGGUCUUGCAAGUUGAACUACUUCUUUAAAGUACGGUCUGUUGUUUGGCACACACACCUUUAGGUUUCCUGUGGCUGCUUCUUGGUGGAUCAUUACAUAUAAGAAAGAAGUGCUACCAUGUUGAAGGAGAACCCUAAGGGAUUAGAGUUGCCUGGAAGGAGAUCUGAAGGUCGUGAUUCCUGAGCAUGUCUAUGAAGAUAGGUAAACCCGGAAAUGCCAAGAGAAGGGUGCACUCAACCAUCAACAAGGUCGAAUCCUGGGGUGACAGCCGUGACGUUCUCCAUAUUGUCAAUCACCAGCAAACCGAGGAGAAUGAGGCCACGUGGGGCCUCCGGUCUGCUAAGACUCGCCCUGUGUCCUUGCUAACAUGACGCGAAGCAUGGGUUGUACGUGCCCUCUCUCUGCAAGCGCUCACGGGGACUGAUGUAAUCUUCUGCUCGACUGGGUAGGAACCGGCAGAGCAGGACUCCUUGCCUCCCUGUGUCAGCCUCUUAAGUGCAGAAUUUCGAGAUGGCUGCUGACAUACUUCUGCUUUGGUUUCAAGGUUUGCUCAAGAAGCAACAGCGUGGGACAGGGAUGAAGAUGAAAGGAUGAAAGGAAAAACUGCCCAGACACUUGCAUACACAAAUAAGUGCUGUCACCUUCCACACUCCACUCACAACCGCCUCCAGAUAUUGAUCACAAAUAAAGUAGAAUGCAGUCUUAAUUGCCAAAUACAUCUUGAC
ensembl:lncRNA